rnacentral:rRNA from 1 species
AGCGGCGGACGGGUGAGUAAUGCCUAGGAAUCUGCCUGGUAGUGGGGGACAACGUUUGGAAAGGAACGCUAAUACCGCAUACGUCCUACGGGAGAAAGCAGGGGACCUUCGGGCCUUGCGCUAUCAGAUGAGCCUAGGUCGGAUUAGAUAGUUGGUGAGGUAAUGGCUCACCAAGGCGACGAUCCGUAACUGGUCUGAGAGGAUGAUCAGUCACACUGGAACUGAGACACGGUCCAGACUCCUACGGGAGGCACGCAGUGUGGGAAUAUUGGACAACGGGCGAAAGCCUGAUCCAAGCCAUGCCGCCUGUGUGAAGAAGGUCUUCGGAUUGUAAAG